GAGAGCCAGAUGCCUGGAAAUCGGGCACGUCCGGUUCGGCGGGGGGCCACACGUAAAAGGACCCGUCUCAGGCGGGCACCUCGACGCGAGGCCUACCCAAC
rnacentral:ncRNA from 1 species